rnacentral:rRNA from 1 species
AUUGAACGCUGGCGGCAUGCCUUACACAUGCAAGUCGAACGGCAGCACGGACUUCGGUCUGGUGGCGAGUGGCGAACGGGUGAGUAAUGCAUCGGAACGUGUCAUUGAGUGGGGGAUAACGUAGCGAAAGUUGCGCUAAUACCGCAUAUUCUGUGAGCAGGAAAGCAGGGGACCGCAAGGCCUUGCGCUCUUUGAGCGGCCGAUGUCAGAUUAGCUAGUUGGUGAGGUAAAGGCUUACCAAGGCGACGAUCUGUAGCGGGUCUGAGAGGAUGAUCCGCCACACUGGAACUGAGACACGGUCCAGACUCCUACGGGAGGCAGCAGUGGGGAAUUUUGGACAAUGGGGGCAACCCUGAUCCAGCCAUGCCGCGUGAGUGAAGAAGGCCUCGGUUGUAAAGCUCUUUACCCGGGUACUGAUAAUGACAGUACC